rnacentral:rRNA from 1 species
UACGGGGGAGCAAGCGUUGUUCGGAUUUACUGGGCGUAAAGGGCGCGUAGGCGGUCAGCACAAGUCAGUUGUGAAAUCUCCGGGCUUAACUCGGAAAGGUCAACUGAUACUGUGCGACUAGAGUGCAGAAGGGGCAACUGGAAUUCUCGGUGUAGCGGUGAAAUGCGUAGAGAUGUGGAGGAACACCAGUGGCGAAGGCGACUCUUUGGCCUGUAACUGACACUGAGGCGCGAAAGCGUGGGGAGCAAACAGG